GUAGGUGAACCUGCGGAAGGAUCAUUCAUAAUCAAGUGUUUUUAUGGCACUUUAAAAAUCCAUAUCCACCUUGUGUGCAAUGUCAUCUCACUGGAAGGUCACGGCUGUAAAAAUCCGGCGGCCAACCUUUGGGAUUUAUAUCUACUCAGAACUUUAGUGAUUUUGUCUGAAACAUAUUAUGAAUAACUUAAUUCAAAAUACAACUUUCAACAACGGAUCUCUUGGCUCUCGCAUCGAUGAAGAACGCAGC
rnacentral:misc_RNA from 1 species